CUGCGAGUUGGAGCGGACUGGAAUUCCGCUUCCCUUCCGUCCCGAAGUUUCUGCGCGGUGUCAACACACACAGUAGGACUCCUCUGCUGAAAAAGCUGUUUAGUAUCGCUAAGGGUUUACCAGAGGAAUGGCAAUGAAUUAAACGUCUCAACAGCAGUGAGAAGUAGUGCGAGUGUGACUUUUCACCUCCAGUAUCUUGAUCUCUGUGCUGUCCUUCAGUGCUGA
rnacentral:lncRNA from 1 species